GCCGAAGUGGCGGAAUCGGCAGACGCGCGCGACUCAAAAUCGCGUAUCUCCGGAUGUGUGGGUUCGACUCCCACCUUCGGCACCA
rnacentral:tRNA from 1 species